UGACUGGUGAUCAGUGGCCUGUGCUGCCACC
rnacentral:sRNA from 1 species